ACAACUGUUAACGAUUUUAGAAAAGUAGAAUAAGGAUUAAGUUUUAGUAUAUCCAUGAGCUUUGUAACAAUCAUCUCAUUAAGAUUAUCUGAUAACGUCAUUCGAUUUGUUAGCUCAUUUUCGUUAUCAUAGAAAUAUAACUGUAAAUUUUUUCCUUUUCCUGCUGAGGGUAUCAAAUCAUCAAUGAAGUGAUACAUUUGUCCUUGGACUUUAAAUGUAUAGAUGCCACGAUUUCUCUUUGCUAAUUUUCUAUCAUAAUGUACUCCAAAUGAAGUGAAUGCAAACAUAUUAUUGUAGGCUCUACUGUAAGUGCGUAAAUGUUGACAUUCUUUCGAGUCACCCAAGAACAAAUUUCACAACUCAGUAGGCAUGUUAUGAGAAGUUAGUCUAAUUGAUCCAUUAUCACAACAAAAACCUGGAGAUUCAUAUUGAAACCUUUUUGCUGCACAAAAUUUGCAAUUUGGGACUUUCUUUAAAAGUAAGUAAUCUUUUGGCAAUAAAUUAUCAUUUUGUAGAUUGACUUCUAACUUAUUUCUACCUGUGCAUGGUAAAAACAAUUAUUUGUUAUAUAUAAGGCACGACAAUACAUGUUUUUUUAUUACUUUGGUAGAAAGAAG
rnacentral:lncRNA from 1 species